rnacentral:rRNA from 1 species
AGAGUAAAAUAGUACGUGAAAUUGUUGAAAGGGAAACGAUUGAAGUCAGUCGUACCGACGGAAAAUCAGCUCUUCGAGUGCGGACUUUGUGGACGUGCGUGAGCUUUAACGGCCUCGCUGUUUGUAACGUUUGUGCUUUUUGGGUGUACUUUUUCGUAUGGUAGGCCAACAUCAGUUUUUGAUCGCUAUAAAAUGACCGGCGGAAUGUAGCUUUGAUCUCGUAUUGAAGUGUUAUAGCCUCUGGUAGAUGUAAUGACUGAGACUGAGGAUUGCAACGAAUACCUUUUAGGCUAUCUGUCUGGCUUCUGGUUAUCGCUUUGGUGCCGAAAGCUUGCUUACGGUCAUUUAAGUUUGACGGUCAAAAGGUUAGAACGUGAUUACAUUCGUUAAGGAUGUUGGCGUAAUGGCUUUAAACGACC